rnacentral:rRNA from 1 species
GCUUGUCUCAAAGAUUAAGCCAUGCAUGUCUAAGUGUAAAUACGUCUACACUGUGAAACUGCGAAUGGCUCAUUAAAUCAGUUAUAGUUUAUUUGAUAAUCGAAUUUUACAUGGAUAACCGUGGUAAUUCUAGAGCUAAUACAUGCUGUUUAGCCUGACUUCUAGGAAGGGCUGUAUUUAUUAGAUAACAAACCAAUAUUCCUCGUGUCUAUUGUGAUGACUCAUAAUAACUGAUCGAAUCGCAUGGGCUUUGCCCGCGAUACAUCAUUCAAGUUUCUGCCCCAUCAGCUUUCGAUGGUAGUGUAUUGGACUACCAUGGCUUUAACGGGUAACGGAGGAUUAGGGUUCGAUUCCGGAGAGGGAGCCUGAGAAACGGCUACCACAUCUAAGGAAGGCAGCAGG